rnacentral:rRNA from 1 species
UAAAGCUUAGGAAUCUGCCUAUUAGUGGGGGACAACGUUUCGAAAGGAACGCUAAUACCGCAUACGUCCUACGGGAGAAAGCAGGGGAUCACUUGUGACCUUGCGCUAAUAGAUGAGCCUAAGUCGGAUUAGCUAGUUGGUGGGGUAAAGGCCUACCAAGGCGACGAUCUGUAGCGGGUCUGAGAGGAUGAUCCGCCACACUGGGACUGAGACACGGCCCAGACUCCUACGGGAGGCAGCAGUGGGGAAUAUUGGACAAUGGGGGGAACCCUGAUCCAGCCAUGCCGCGUGUGUGAAGAAGGCCUUAUGGUUGUAAAGCACUUUAAGCGAGGAGGAGGCUCUUCUAGUUAAUACCUAGGAUGAGUGGACGUUACUCGCAGAAUAAGCACCGGCUAACUCUGUGCCAGCAGCCGCGGUAAUACAGAGGGUGCGAGCGUUAAUCGGAUUUACUGGGCGUAAAGCGCGCGUAGGUGGCUAAUUAAGUCAAAUGUGAAAUCCCCGAGCUUAACUUGGGAAUUGCAUUCGAUACUGGUUAGCUAGAGUAUGGGAGAGGAUGGUAGAAUUCCAGGUGUAGCGGUGAAAUGCGUAGAGAUCUGGAGGAAUACCGAUGGCGAAGGCAGCCAUCUGGCCUAAUACUGACACUGAGGUGCGAAAGCAUGGGGAGCAAACAGGAUUAGAUACCCUGGUAGUCCAUGCCGUAAACGAUGUCUACUAGCCGUUGGGGCCUUUGUGGCUUUAGUGGCGCAGCUAACGCGAUAAGUAGACCGCCUGGGGAGUACGGUCGCAAGACUAAAACUCAAAUGAAUUGACGGGGGCCCGCACAAGCGGUGGAGCAUGUGGUUUAAUUCGAUGCAACGCGAAGAACCUUACC